UCCCCGCCCCCGACGCCGCCCUGGGGCCAGAGUCCCUGAGAGGCGGGCCUGGGGACCUGGGACUUGGCCUGGACGCCUCACCUACUGCACAGAGCGCUCUUUGUCCCACUGUGUCCCUGAGCCGUGGACCAGGAGCUGUGCCCAUCUGCACAUGGAAUGGAUCUUGUCCUAAUGCAUAAUUGUUUUUAAGUAACGUGUUGUGUGUUGUUUCACUAAGUAAUAUAGAUGUUCCACCAUU